CCGCCUGGGGAGUACGGGUGAGGUAACGGCUCACCAAGGCGACGACGGGUAGCCGGCCUGAGAGGGUGACCGGCCACACUGGGACUGAGACACGGCCCAGACUCCUACGGGAGGCAGCAGUGGGGAAUAUUGCACAAUGGGCGAAAGCCUGAUGCAGCAACGCCGCGUGAGGGAUGAAGGCCUUCGGGUUGUAAACCUCUUUUAGCAGGGAAGAAGCGAAAGUGACGGUACCUGCAGAAAAAGCACCGGCUAACUACGUGCCAGCAGCCGCGGUAAUACGUAGGGUGCAAGCGUUGUCCGGAAUUAUUGGGCGUAAAGAGCUCGUAGGCGGUUUGUCACGUCUGCUGUGAAAAUCCAAGGCUCAACCUUGGACUUGCAGUGGGUACGGGCAGGCUAGAGUGCGGUAGGGGAGAUGGGAAUUCCUGGUGUAGCGGUGGAAUGCGCAGAUAUCAGGAGGAACACCAAUGGCGAAGGCACAUCUCUGGGCCGUAACUGACGCUGAGGAGCGAAAGCGUGGGGAGCGAACAGGAUUAGAUACCCUGGUAGUCCACGCCGUAAACGGUGGGUGCUAGCUGUGGGCCACAUUCCACGUGGUCCGUGACGAAGUUAACACAUUAAGCACCCCGCCUGGGGAGUACGG
rnacentral:rRNA from 1 species